GGAUUGCCCUAGUACGGCGAGUGAAGCGGCAACAGCUCAAAUUUGAAAGCUGGCUUAGGCCCGCAUUGUAAUUUGCAGAGGAUGCUUCUGGCGAGGUGCCUUCCGAGUUCCCUGGAACGGGACGCCAUAGAGGGUGAGAGCCCCGUAUGGAUGGACACCAGACCUGUGUGAAGCUCCUUCAACGAGUCGAGUAGUUUGGGAAUGCUGCUCUAAAUGGGAGGUAAAUCUCUUCUAAAGCUAAAUACCGGCCAGAGACCGAUAGCGCACAAGUAGAGUGAUCGAAAGAUGAAAAGCACCUUGAAAAGGGGGUUAAACAGUACGUGAAAUUGUUGAAAGGGAAGCGCUUGUGACCAGACUUGCGCCGGGCAGCUCAUCAGGGGUUCUCCCCUGUGCACUCUGCCCGGCUCAGGCCAGCAUCGGUUUUCGUGGGAGGAUAAGAACGGUAGGAACGUGGCCCCCCUUCGGGGGGGUGUUAUAGCCUGCCGUACGAUACUCCCGUGGGGACCGAGGUUCGCGCUCCGCAAGGAUGCUGGCGUAAUGGUCAUCAGCGACCCGUCUUGAAACCACGGACCA
rnacentral:rRNA from 2 species